rnacentral:rRNA from 2 species
CCUAGUAACUGCGAGUGAAGCGGGAAAAGCUCAAAUUUAAAAUCUGGUAGUCCUUGCGGCUGCCCGAGUUGUAAUCUAGAGAAGCGUUAUCCGCGCUGGACCGUGUACAAGUCUCCUGGAACGGAGCGUCAUAGAGGGUGAGAAUCCCGUCUUUGACACGGACUACCAGGGCUUUUGUGAUGCGCUCUCAAAGAGUCGAGUUGUUUGGGAAUGCAGCUCUAAAUGGGUGGUAAAUUCCAUCUAAAGCUAAAUAUUGGCGAGAGACCGAUAGCGAACAAGUACCGUGAGGGAAAGAUGAAAAGAACUUUGGAAAGAGAGUUAAACAGUACGUGAAAUUGUUGAAAGGGAAACGCUUGAAGUCAGUCGCGUUGGCCGGGGAUCAACCUUGCUUUUUUGCUUGGCGUACUUUCCGGUUAAUGGGUCAGCAUCAAUUUUGACCGGUGGAUAAAGGUUAGGGGAAUGUGGCAUCCUCGGAUGUGUUAUAGCCCUUGGUCGCAUACAUCGGUUGGGAUUGAGGAACUCAGCACGCCGCAAGGCCGGGUUUUUAACCACGUACGUGCUUAGGAUGCUGGCAUAAUGGCUUUAAUCGACCCGUCUUGAAACACGGACCAAGGAGUCUAACAUGCCUGCGAGUGUUUGGGUGGAAAACCCGAGCGCGUAAUGAAAGUGAAAGUUGAGAUCCCUGUCGCGGGGAGCAUCGACGCCCGGACCAGACCUUUUGUGACGGUCCCGCGGUAGAGCAUGUAUGUUGGGACCCGAAAGAUGGUGAACUAUGCCUGAAUAGGGUGAAGCCAGAGGAAACUCUGGUGGAGGCUCGUAGCGAUUCUGACGUGCAAAUCGAUCGUCGAAUUUGGGUAUA